AUGGAUUCCUUCAGUGCACCCAACGUGCUGACGAUUACUCUGUUUCCUAGAGCGCGACAAAGGCUUGUUGUUUGAGCGUGUGCUCAAGAUACCACCUGAGAGGUUAUUAGACUCGGUUGAGAAAAGAGUACGUUGAGGAAGAAGGUAUCCUGGAAGAUCUGGAGGAGGAUGUGCCAGGGCAGACAUCCUUGGAGGAAGCCACAAGGGUUCACAUGAUGCCGGUGGACCCAGCCACACUGGCGAACGCUGUGACUGAUACACUAUAGGAGCUGUCCAGUGACGAGGGAGAGGAGGACCCAGAGGAUGUGAAGAAAUCGUCGGGAGUUCCAUCAGAGGGUAGGUAUUGCGGAGCCCCUCUCAUGCUGAUGAGUCACCCAGAUGAUGAGGAAUGUGCCACUGCCUCGCUGGCUUUCCCGUAGACAGGCAGCCGGAGCUGAGCGUCCUCUCAUGAAUGAGGACCUAGGCUCUGAUGGGAGAAAUGAUUUUUCUAGAUAAGGAACAGUGGCCACAUUCUGCAGCCCCUGGGAGCAACUGCAAUCCCUGAAGGUGGGGUGGGAUCCUGUGCACGGGGCCGGUCAUGUCUUUUGUGAAUUCAUGCGGUACCACGGUCAGUGUGUCUGGGUGUGUGUGUUUGGGUUUCCGUACUACAUAUCCCCAGAUUUACUAGUGUCCACAUUCUCAACAGAGAUUUCCGUCACCGUUGUGGUCCUAUUACAGGCACAUGAAAAAAUCAGCUUGUAAGCUUCCAGUGUGUGCAGUUUAUUUCUUGCACAGGACACUUUAAUUAACCUAAAAGAAAUCCUGUCCACACCCAGGAAAUUCUCACUGGGCACCCAAGGAACAGAACUGUGUCAGGAUCUCUGCUCAUUUUAUUUUUUCCUUCAGAAUUCCCUGCUAUACUUUAUUUUCUAAUAAACCUCACCUCUUCACAGGCCUUUCUGUUUCCUCCUGCCUUUGGAGAGGUCAUGACACCUCACUCUAGCCCCUUCCCUCCUUUACAAGCCUCUUCUACCAAAGCCCUCAGAAGUGACCCUCCACGACCCAUCUUGAGAGGGAGGAGGGGCUCCUUCCUGUGCAUUUACACCCUGGUGCAGCCUCGUGCUACAGCCAGUUCUGCUGGGAAACUGAGAAGAGAGGAGGCUGCAGGUGGGGUUGGGGUGAAAUCACCCCAAUUUUCUCCAUUGAGGCCUCAUGUUGACCAUCAGAUAACAUGGUUCAGAAUAGAUAAUGCCAGGGUCAUGUAGAGUUUCAGCCUUGUAUCCCUCAGCCUAGUCAUGGUUUCUGUGUCCUCGGCUCAGAAACAGCAACAUGUAAAGAGAACCAAGGGGUUUGCCCUAGGGUCUGAGAGGCAGGGUGAGCACUUGCCUUCCUAGCAGGAUGGAGGGUGGCUCAUGCAUUGCAGAUGGGGAAAAACAAACUCUGUGGUAGCACAGAGGCUCCAUGAUGUCCCCAUUGAACCGCCUGUUGACAAAGGUUGGUUGUUUGCUCCUGAAGGCUUUUGAAAAAAAAAAACAAGUGAACGCAGUUGGUUUCAGUGAAUAGGAAUAUAAACGGAGCCAAAUUUAGUUUGAGUUUUUUCUUGGAGUAUGCAUUUGGUGGAAACUUAUUGUGUAUAAAUCAAAUUUGAUUGCUCUUUAGGUGUCAAUAUUUAUCCCACAUUUUAAACCAAUCAGGUUGGUGUGAAUUUAGAAGGUCCCUCACUAACCUCAGAAACAAUCUCCUCAUAACCCAAUUCCCGAGUCAUCUUUAAUCUGUAGAAUAUAGUUUUUUGUGGCUACUCAGGGGGCUUUCUGCUGACUGAUUCAAGGUACAAAUCAGUGUUACCCACGUUGAGGUUCUAAGAAUUCACAGACAGCUGCCCAGUGGGCUCUGUGAGAGAGAGAGCAGGUACAGCCUUGGCCUGGGUCUGCAGAGGAACAUGAUCUGGAGGAGCAGAAGGAAGGCAUGAGGGCAGCAGAGCCAUGGGGAAGCCGAGAUGCAGCAUCAGCAGAGUCAGUUCCACAUCAUCACCUGGGCGCGGACGGAACGUUCACGCCUCAUCUGAAGGAGGAGUUGAGCUCUGACUUCGUGGCUGGCCUGAACAUUGGCCAUCUUCCUAAAACCCUGGACAGAGGUGCUACUUUCUUGUUUCUUGUCUUCUCCAUCUCCCUGUGUAUUGAUGGCAAAGGCACCACCAGAAAUUAGUGAGAGACAGAGAACAGGAGUGAGUGCCUGAAAUGUUCAACUUAGCCCAGAGAGAACAUGAUCAGCAGGGACGGACUGGAGGGUCAGGUCAGACAUGGAGUAGUUGCCACGUUUGAUCUCCCUGUGGCUGGAACAGUCAGCUUCUGGGAGUCGCCGGACAGCUGGUCUUUGUGUAGCUGCUAUUGGUCCAGAGUUCCCUUUUACUGGAGGGAGGCUCAGCUCCCAGAGAGGGCAGCUGCCCAAUGCUAGUGUCACAGGAAGUGAGGAGGGGACCCUGCUCUCAGGCAGGCUGAGCUCAGCAAAGGGAGAGGGGCUGCUCUGGAGUUUAGGUGGUCCUUGUAGCUUUCUCGUGUGACCCAUAGGAGAUCAGUUUCUCUGUUUCUCUGGGACAGACUUGCAGUCAUCAGUCCCAAAGUCUGUAGUCUCCUACUCAUAGGUGGAGGAAUCCUGGCCAUGGCUGGUCACCGGGAGGGCAGGGACUGUGUCCUCCUCAUUCUUUCUACUCCCAGAGCUCAGCCCUGGGCAGUCCAUGUUGGGCCCGUGAUGUUCUGAUGCCUGCAUUCCUGUUGUGAGAUCUAGCACAAGUGUGCAAAGGCUUUCUGCUCAUUUUCUAUAGUCUGUGGGUUCCCACACUUACCCAGGUGCCUGCGUGGGUUGUAAUCCAGGGUCAGGGGAGAAGAGCGUGGGCUCCUCAAACAGUGAGGUUUUCCCUUCUCUGCUUCUGCGGUUCUGCUCGUGUUUUCUCCUGAAGUGUGCACUGAAUGAUUACAAUAAUACAUUGUGUAUGUUUUACGAAAAUUAUGUCAGUUCAACAAAAUGGAUGGAAAAUGCAAGAGAAGCAUAUGUAGACCCAGGAGAGAUAAAUAGCAUUGUCACAUUUCACCAGAAAAGUGGAAAUUUCCCAGGCCUCAAACUGCAUAGGAGAAGGAAGAGACACUGUCACGGCGUCGGCAGUGCGUGUGUGUGCUGCCAAGGCUCUGUCUUCCAUGGCUUUCGUGAUGGUCUCACUGACCUUUCUUCAUCACCAAGGAGGAUGUUCUGGCAAGAGGUCUGUUUUUGCAGUUAACCCCCCUUGUCUACAUGUGCCAGCCCCGUGUUUUUAGCGCCUGAGUCUGCCUGACGGAUUCCUUCAGUGCAUCCAGUGUGCUGACAAUGACUCUGUGUUUCCUCGAGCGCGACCAAGGCUUGUUGUGCGAGCAUCUGCCCAAGAUACCAUCUGAGACGUUGUCAGGGUCAUUGAAGAAAAGAGUACACUUGGAAGAAGAAGGUGAACUGGAAGACCUGGAGGAGGAUGUGCCCAAGCAGACAUCCUCGGAGGAAGCCACAGGCGUUCGCAUAGUAAAGUCAUGUUGUUUACUCUGAAAUGGAAAUUGAAUUUCUCUCGGUUUCUCUCUGUUUCCAUUGAACUAAGAGGUACACAUCUUACCAUCUACGCGAUAGGUGACUGACAAGAAUUUCUUGGUGGGCAAAUGUCAGAGUUCAUUAUCCACUAAAAAAUGGUUUCAGAUGGCAUCCACAUUUACAAGCUGUGUGUCAGCAGACAUUUUCCUCAAGAGAAAUGCCUUCUUCUUAAGAAGUAUUUGGAAUCGUCAAAUAAAAACAAUUGAAAAUCUUGCACAAA